rnacentral:lncRNA from 1 species
GAUGGGGAGGUCAGGUCUGGGAAACUAGGCCCUGGGGUUUUCCCUGAGCAGGAGCGGUGCCCGAGGGCCUCAGGUACGCAGAAGGGCGGGGAGACAUGGGAUCAGCACCUCCACCUCCUAAGGGACCGAAGGGCAGGAGAGCGAGAGGACUUGUCCCCAGAGGUGGAGUCCGAAGUGGGGGCGCCCCAGUUGACCCUUCGGGACAAAACGUGACUUCAGCCUUAAGGAUCUAAAACCGGCCGCGGUCAGGCGUCAGUCCAGGCCCUGAAUGGCUGGUCUCCAGCGGUUGGCGUCACAUCUGCCUGUGGGCGUUAUGCUCCCACAUAAUACAACGGAAGCUCCAGGGCCCCACUCAGCCAAGCAAGACUCUUACGAACAAGGUGACUCUUCCCAGCAGUCCUUGAAGGGGCACCUGAGGAACAAUUUCCAGAAGCAGCUUUUGAGCAACAAAGAGUUGAUUCUGGAUAAAGUCUAUACUCACCCCAAAUGGAACACCCAAACAAAAGCCCGGAGCUACUCCUAUCCCCACUGUACUGGAAUCAGC